ACAACUUUCAGCAACGGAUCUCUUGGCUCUCGCAUC
rnacentral:rRNA from 3 species